UUGUGACAUGUUUGAUCCAAUGAACUCGCUCCCCUUUUCCUGGAGCCUCAGCCUCUGGUGAAACUGGACUUUCAAGUCUGUGCAGGUGAAGGUGUGUGAGAGCGCCCGAGAUGGCAGAACAAGAGCUACAGGUUCUAAACAAGAUGAGACACAAAAUAAAGAUUAAAGAUGGAGGCCGAAUGUCAUCCCUCCUACUGAGAGAGGUACACACGAGGUUGUGACUUAGUGGAAGAAUGAAAUUGGGCCUGCAACCUGAGUUGAGUUCUGGUCCCCACCUGGCCGCAGGCCUGCAAAAUGCCCCGUGGAAGGGCAAAGAAAGCCAGUGCUGCCCACAGUACUGUUCAAGGCAAUGAAAGACAUCAAGAAGCUGAAAUAACAUGUUUAGUUAAUCUCCCCAAAGUUUCAAAUCAGCUUCGCCAUGUACCUUGCAGAUCUUAGUUCUCCAACCAGGGAUUGAACCUGGACCCCAGCAAUGUAAACACCAAAUCCUAGCCACUGGACCACUAAGGAAUUCCUUAUAUUACGUUUUAUAAUUAAGGGAGAAAUGUAUGUUUUCAAGGUUUAUUUGCAUGCUAUUUACCUCUGUAUAUUUUUGGUAUUUGUUAAGAAUGUACUGGAGAACAAGGAUUUUGUUCAUAAAAGAGGUUUAGAAAAGGGGAAAAGUUUAUUUUCUUAUAAUGGCUGAUAGAAGAUAGGUUUUGUAGAUUUUUGGAGUACAUUUAUGGGUCUACCAUGCAUUAUACAAGCUUCUAUAAUCAAGUGGAAAUAGAAUUAAGCAUUAUGAAAGUAAAAGUGAAAGUCGCUCAGUCGUGUCCGACUCUUUACAACACCAUGGACUGUAUAGUCCAGGAAUUCUCCAGGCCAAGAUACUGGAGUGGGUAGCCUUUCCCUCCUCCAGGGGAUCUUCCCAACCCAGGGAUCGAACCCAGGUUUCCCGCAUUGCAGGCAGAUUCUUUACCAGCUGAGCCACAAGAGAAGCCCAUUAACUAUUAUAAAACUCCCCAUAAGUGGGCCAACUAACAUAAAAAUUUUUUUAAGUUACCUUAUGUAGCAUUAUAUUUUUUCUAAUUUCCUAUUUGUACUACAAAAGUAAUGAAAUUCAUUUCAAUAGUCUGUUGAGAGAAAGAAAUACAAUAAUCACUCAUAAUCUAACCACUUAACUGUUGGCAUUUUUGUAUCAAGUUAUUUUCUGUCCUAGAUCUUCAAACCAUUUCAUAAGUUUUGCCCUGUUUUAGCCUCAAAACAGGGUUCAGGAGUUCUCUGGUGGCUAGUGGUUAGGAUUCCAGGCUUUCACUGCCUUGGCCUGGGUUUAGUGCCUGGUUGGGGAACUGAGAUUCUAUGAUAUGGCCACACAAAAAAUAAAAUUAUGACUUUUGGAAUUCCCUGCUGGUGCACUGGUUAGGAUUCUUCACUUACACUGCCAAGGGAAUGGGUUCAAGCCCUGGUUGGGGAACUAAUAUCCCACAAGCCAUGCAGUACAGCCAAAAAUAAAUAAACCAAAGGAAACAAACAAACAAACAGCAGCCCCCGCCUCCCCAACACACACACACCAAACCAAAACAGAGUUCGGAACAGGCUAGGGAGAUGUUCUUGUUUCCAUAAUCCAGGCCUGGAGCCCACAUCUGACUGCUUGGCUGGCAGCUUCUCCAGACACAAGUUGACGUUGUCCCGCGAGGGACACCUGUACAGUGGGAACAAUUAGCACAGUUCACACAGGUAAGUCACCUUACUAACUGAACUCCUUUAAGUGGAUCACUAAGGGCCACAAAGACAGACUAAGGUCACUCAUUUAGAUAAUUUUGUUUCUUUGUGUUUUUUGUUUGUGUUCUUGUGUGUCUUUAAAUCCUUAAUAUUUGUUUUAUCUCAUCUUUCAGAAAUUGUAUACUGAUUAAGUUCUUAUACCAGAAUUUGAUAUGAGCAUGUGAAAUAUUUAAUCUACCAUUUGGGAUUCUGUUUUCAAUGACCCAGAUACUCAUUUGGCUAAAGUUAACAUGAAUUUGUGUUGAUUUCAUUUAGCAUGAAUUUUUUGUUUAGCUUUUAUGAAAAUACACAGCAAUUGGAAAUAGGCUGCACAGUUUACCUGCACCCCUAUCUUUUUAAUUGUAAAACCUCUGGAAUUUUUUUUGUUGUUCUAUAACAUUUUUGUGAAACUCUUAUCAUAUCACAGGACACUUCUGGCACUUUCGUGUGUUUCAGUCCAGAGAAACUAAGGGUAGAAUCCAAACAAAACCUUGUUUACUUUUUCCACACUUCAGGAACCAGAGUUAAUUCAGAGCAAAGAAGCCUAAAGGGAAAGAGGAAAAAAAGGGGAAAUAAAAAAAGGCUGUUCAUUGUACA